GUCUUGCUAUCGAUGGAAAUGCCGCCCCAGAACAUGCAUGAUCCACCUCCAUACUCCACUGUCUCCUCGGUACAGGUUUGUGCAAACCCUUCGCCCUGCCUUCGGUACACUUUCCUUUGUUUGUCAUUGCUGUAUAUACACACCCUUGUUUCAUCAGAAAAGAGCACAGUCUUCCAUUGGUCAAGCGUCCAAUUAAAAUGUUCACGGGCAAAAUGUAACCGUUCUUUGCGGUGCUGUGCAGUCAGUUUUGGACCGGUAGCAGGUCUGCAGGCCAAAACUUUUUGUUCUCCUAACCUUUCCUUCGUUUGUCAUUGCUGAAUAAACACACCUUUGUUUCAUCCGAAAAGAGCACAGUCUUCCAAUGGUCGAGAGUCCAAUUAACGUGUUCACGGGCAAACUGUAACCAUUAUUUGCGGUGCUGUGUAGUCAGUUUCGGACCGGUAGCAGGUCUGCGGGCCA